rnacentral:rRNA from 1 species
ACGAACGCUGGCGGCGUGCUUAACACAUGCAAGUCGAACGGAAAGGCCCUGCUUUUGUGGGGUGCUCGAGUGGCGAACGGGUGAGUAACACGUGAGUAACCUGCCCUUGACUUUGGGAUAACUUCGGGAAACUGGGGCUAAUACCUGAUAGGAGCUCCUGCUGCAUGGUGGGGGUUGGAAAGUUUCGGCGGUUGGGGAUGGACUCGCGGCUUAUCAGCUUGUUGGUGGGGUAGUGGCUUACCAAGGCUUUGACGGGUAGCCGGCCUGAGAGGGUGACCGGCCACAUUGGGACUGAGAUACGGCCCAGACUCCUACGGGAGGCAGCAGUGGGGAAUAUUGCACAAUGGGCGGAAGCCUGAUGCAGCAACGCCGCGUGCGGGAUGACGGCCUUCGGGUUGUAAACCGCUUUCGCCUGUGACGAAGCGUGAGUGACGGUAAUGGGUAAAGAAGCACCGGCUAACUACGUG